rfam:Rhizopus oryzae RA 99-880 supercont3.8 genomic scaffold, whole genome shotgun sequence.
GGGGAAAUGGUGUAGUGGUAUCACAAUUCCUUCGCAUGGAAUAGGUCGCGAGUUCAAUCCUCGCUUUCUCCA